UACAGAGGGGGCGAGCGUUGUUCGGAAUUACUGGGCGUAAAGGGCGCGUAGGCGGCCAACUAAGUCAGACGUGAAAUCCCUCGGCUCAACCGGGGAACUGCGUCUGAUACUGGAUGGCUUGAAUUCGGGAGAGGGAUGCGGAAUUCCAAGGUGUAGCGGUGAAAUGCUGUGAGAUAUCUGGAGGAACGACCGGUGGCGAAGGCGGCAUCCUGGACCGAGAUUGACG
rnacentral:rRNA from 1 species